rnacentral:rRNA from 1 species
UACGGGGGGAGCAAGCGUUGUCCGGAUUUACUGGGCGUAAAGCGCGCGCAGGCGGCACUUCAAGUAAGGUGUGAAAUCUCCCUGCUCAACGGGGAGGGUGCACUUUAGACUGAGGAGCUAGAGGACGGUAGAGGGGGGGGUGGAAUUGCUGGUGUAGCGGUGAAAUGCGUAGAGAUCAGCAGGAACACCCGUGGCGAAGGCGGCCCCCUGGGCCGUACCUGACGCUGAGGCGCGAAGGCUAGGGGAGCGAACGGGG